rnacentral:rRNA from 1 species
GCUAGCGUUGCUCGGAAUCACUGGGCGUAAAGGGUGCGUAGGCGGGUUUUUAAGUCCGGGGUGAAAUCCUGGAGCUCAACUCCAGAACUGCCUUUGAUACUGAAGAUCUUGAGUCCGGGAGAGGUGAGUGGAACUGCGAGUGUAGAGGUGAAAUUCGUAGAUAUUCGCAAGAACACCAGUGGCGAAGGCGGCUCACUGGCCCGGUACUGACGCUGAGGCACGAAAGCGUGGGGAGCAAACAGG